UACGAAGGGGGCUAGCGUUGCUCGGAAUCACUGGGCGUAAAGCGCACGUAGGCGGCUUUUUAAGUCAGGGGUGAAAUCCUGGAGCUCAACUCCAGAACUGCCUCCGAUACUGAAUGUCUUCGAGUCCGGGAGAGGUGAGUGGAACUGCGAGUGUAGAGGUGAAAUUCGUAGAUAUUCGCAAGAACACCAGUGGCGAAGGCGGCUCACUGGCCCGGUACUGACGCUGAGGUGCGAAAGCGUGGGGAGCAAACAGG
rnacentral:rRNA from 1 species